AUUGAACGCUGGCGGCAGGCCUAACACAUGCAAGUCGAGCGGAUGAAGGGAGCUUGCUCCUGGAUUCAGCGGCGGACGGGUGAGUAAUGCCUAGGAAUCUGCCUGGUAGUGGGGGAUAACGUCCGGAAACGGGCGCUAAUACCGCAUACGUCCUUAGGGAGAAAGUGGGGGAUCUUCGGACCUCACGCUAUCAGAUGAGCCUAGGUCGGAUUAGCUAGUUGGUGGGGUAAAGGCCUACCAAGGCGACGAUCCGUAACUGGUCUGAGAGGAUGAUCAGUCACACUGGAACUGAGACACGGUCCAGACUCCUACGGGAGGCAGCAGUGGGGAAUAUUGGACAAUGGGCGAAAGCCUGAUCCAGCCAUGCCGCGUGUGUGAAGAAGGUCUUCGGAUUGUAAAGCACUUUUAGUUGGGAAGAAGAGCAGUAAGUUAAUACCUUGCUGUUUUGACGUUACCAACAGAAUAAGCACCGGCUAACUUCGUG
rnacentral:rRNA from 1 species